rnacentral:rRNA from 1 species
CCUACGGGUGGCUGCAGUGAGGAAUAUUGGUCAAUGGGCGUAAGCCUGACGCAGCCAAGCCGCGUGAGGGAUGAAGGUUCUAUGGAUCGUAAACCUCUUUUAUAAGGGAGUAAAGUGUGGGACGUGUCCGAUUUUGUAUGUACCUACUGAGUAAGGGUCGGCUAACUCCGUGCCAGCAGCCGCGGUAAUACGGAGGAUACGAGCGUUAUCCGGAUUUAUUGGGGUUAAAGGGUGCGUAGGCGGCGUUUUAAGUCAGUUGUGAAAGUCUGUGGCUUAACCAUAGAAUUGCCGUUAAAACUGGGUCCCUUGAGUAUGUUAGAGGCAAGUGGAAUUCGUGGUGUAGCGGUGAAAUGCGUAGAUAUUAGGAAGAACACCGGUGGCGAAGGCGACUUUCCGGCGCGUAACUGACGCUGAGGCACGAAAGUGUGGGGAGCGAACAGGAUUAGAUACCCUAGUAGUC